rnacentral:rRNA from 1 species
AUAGCGUAUAUUAAAGUUGUUGCAGUUAAAAAGCUCGUAGUUGAACUUCAGACCUGGCUGGGCGGUCAGCUUAUCGGCUUGUACUGUCUGGCUGGGCCUUACUUCUUGGUGAGCUGGUGUGCCCUUUAUUGGGUGCGUUGGUGAACCAGGACCUUUACCUUGAGAAAAUUAGAGUGUUCAAAGCAGGCCUAUGCCCGAAUACAUUAGCAUGGAAUAAUAAAAUAGGACGUGCGGUUCUAUUUUGUUGGUUUCUAGAGUCGCCGUAAUGAUUAAUAGGGAUAGUUGGGGGCAUUGGUAUUGAGUCGCUAGAGGUGAAAUUCUUGGAUUGACUCAAGACCAACUAUUG